rnacentral:lncRNA from 1 species
UCUCCGGAAGUGUAACCAGAGUCUCCUGGAGGGAGAGCGAAGAAUUUGUGAAUAGAUCUAUUCGGGACUGACAAUCCCACACCUUAACUGCUAGCUACAGUUAGGCGGGCACGCCUGGGGUGACAAAUUCUGGAUAUCAUUCGACGUCUGACUAACGUCAAGGAGGUCUCGUUGUCAUAUCAGCAUGGUUACCCGACUCACAAUACGUAUUAAUAUAAACUUAUUCACAGCUAGGAUUUGUUUAGAAUCUAUAUCUUGUUCGGGAUGGUAAUCCCAUGGUCUUGUAAUCUAUAUCUCGUUCGGGAUGGUAAUCCCAUGGUUUUAUGUCUAUAUCUCGUUCGGGAUGAUAAUCCCAUGAUCUUGUGUCUAUAUUUCGUUCGGGAUGGCAAUCCCAUGGUUUUGAAACUAAAUCUUAUACGGGAUGAUAAUCCCAUGAUUUUAUCAAGCUAUCUUAUAUCUAGUUUCGGGAUAGUGAUCCCAUGGUUUAUCAAACUAUUUAUAUCUACUUUCGGGAUAGUGAUCCCAUGGUUUUUAUCGAAUUAUCUUAUAACUGGUUCGGGAUGUAGUCCCAAGGUUUUCAAAAUACUUUCUAUUUACAGUUCGUCUAAAUUAUAGUUUUGUGAAUUAAACUAUACUAUGUGUUAUCUAAUCAAUCUUACAAUUAGGAAAAUAUGGGAUUUUCCUGGGGUUAACUUAUAUCUGUAACAGAACUGUAAUGAAAGAUAACUUAACUACUUUACAUAAGAAAAUAUGGGAUUUUCUUGGAUAUCAAAUCUUUUCAGAAAACUAAAGGAAAUCGAUACAUUUUCACAAAACAAAACCGCUUAUGAACUCACCAGCUUUAUGCUGAUUUUCAAACCGCUUGUAUUCUCAGGUCCAAGUUAGACAGGUACCCGGCGAUAUCUUUUGGUGAAGAUGGAGUGCUCCGAAGACUCGUCUCUUUUGUUCAUAUGAUAUAUGUAUAACUUUUGUACAAUUUACUUUUGAACCAAAUGUAAACUUUCAUAUAUAUGUAAUGUAAUGGUUGUUUACUGUGAUUACUAUGUACAUUGGAUUUGAUACACAACAUGGAGUCAACCCCGGGAACGUUUCCGCCUUUGGUUUUCGGGGUGUGACAGAUUGGUAUCAGAGCCCUUGUUUAUAGUGAACAGAGUAUACCAAACCUUACAUGGUAUAAAACUAUAAACAUUAAGGGGCCUAAGUGCUCUGAACUAAAAGUAUCCUACAAUAUAUAAGUAUUUUCAAAAGUAUUUAAGUAUGCCGAGCCGUCGAAAUCCGUAACUACAAGUAGAACAAAACAUAAGUAAAUGGGUGUUGUACACUGCGGUUAAACCUGGGCAGUUAUGUAGUCGUGUCUAGGGUCAAUAUAGCCUGGCCAACUAUAUUCAUUCGAGACACGGCCAACAUGUGCUUGGGAGUGACUGUGGCAUGCGGCAUACCUAAAACUUACCCAAUAUCCCAAACAACAAAUCGUCGCUGCAGCGAACCAUGAAAUACUAUGGGAGUAUUUCUCGAGCCGAUCCUUUGUAGAAAUUCUCGUAUACGCGUUAUUCCUUGAUCAUUCCUCUAGCGAUAAAAUGUUCUAUCUUGAUAACUCCUUUCUGCUUUAUCGCUUUGUAUGAUGCUAUAUUUGCCUUGAUGAGAUAUCUCCUGUCCCAUAUCUCUUGAUUCAAUUCAGAGGACUUAUGAUCCUCUCUUUCCUGAUCUUUUUAGAUCAAGAUGCCUCCAAGAAAGAGACCCAGCUCAACGAACAACAACAAUCCUCCUCUUCAACUUGAUCUUGCAUCGCUUCAGACAGUUCUGACUGCUGCAAUGGUAGCAGCCAUGUCGCAAAUGAACUCUAGAAAUUCAGGAGGUGAUCCCCAACCCCAAAACCCAGAAGAUAGCCAGGGACACCAAAAAGGGGGUUCCUAUAAAGACUUCAUGAACGCAAAACCGACAUUCUUCGAUGGCACAGGGGGUGUCAUUGCCUUAACCCGAUGGUUCGAGAGAAUCGAAUCAAUCUUUGAAAUAUGUGGCUGUUCGGAGUCUGAUAGAGUCAAGUUUGCCGCCUGUACCUUCCUAGACAAAGCCCUGACUUGGUGGAAUGGCCGAGUCAAAUCCUUAACUUUACCUGUAGCCAAUGCUAUGGGUUGGGAAGCUAUGAAGGAGCUUCUUCUCGCAGAGUAUUGCCCUCGGGGCGAACUUCAGAAGCUAGAACACGAACUUUGGAACCUUAAGAUGAAGGGUUCUGACAUAGCUGCUUAUACCUCAAGAUUCGAUGAUCUGGCGUUACUUUGUCCGGGAAUGGUUACCCCGGAAGGUAAAAAGAUAGAGAGAUUCAUCUGGGGGUUGACCCAGCCAACAAAGGGGAAUGUCUUGGCUGCGAAGCCAGACACUUAUGACAGUGCCAAAUGCCUUGCGAAAAUCCUGAUAGAUCACGAAGACAACUCUGAUGAAGAAGCUACUACCCCCGAGCCAGUCACUAGUGGAGGCGGAAGUAAAAGGAAAUCCUGGAACAAGCGUAAGGCCCAGAGUACGCAAGGGUCUUCUAAGAAACAGCAAACGGUAGCAGUUCAUGCUGCUACUGCCCCUGUUGCUGUUUCAGCUGUAGGUUCCACAGCCCAAACUCCUGCCAGUGGAUACACUGGUACUCUUCCUUGGUGUAGUAAGUGCAACUACCACCACCGUAUUCCUGGUCCAUGUCGCGAAAGGAUCUGCGACAACUGUGGUAAUAAGUGCCAUCUUGCGCGAACCUGUAGAAAACCAGCCAAGCCAACAAACCAGUCGUCUGGAGCGGGAAUUAGUUAGGCCUGCUACAAUUGUGGUGAAGCUGGGCACUUCAAAAGGAAUUGUCCCAAGACAGCUACGACCACAAAUCCCUCUGAUGCCGCAGGUAUAUCUCUCUUUGAUAAUUCUUAUGCUUGCAACUCUUUUCGAUUUUGGGUGCAAAAAGGGAAACCUGUUAUCUAUCUAUUCGAACAUAUUCUAAACUCAAUCCUUUGAAUGUAGUCGAAAUGUAUACCUUCGAGACGACUAACUAGUGAGAUAGAGAACACUAACUUCGUAUCUAUAGAUUGAAUCCUCGGUCCGGAGGACUAUUCUAUUCCAUUCGAUUUAUAAAGGGGGAAACUUUCCAUGAAAAUACUUUGGUGCCAUGUUUAACCAGAAAUGACCGAGUUUUCGUUCGCGUUGUUAUCUUUACUUCCGAAAGGACCGCUCGUUAGAUUUUUCUCGACCCGGUUCUUGUGAUCUUCGGCAUCAAACUUCCGUAUCAUUUUAUGCUCUAGAACUCAAAAGUUUUCCCAAUGUAAAAUUUUCACGCAUCCCUCGUUUCUGUGAUUAUUGAGAAAUGGGAAAUUAGCAACUUUUCCCUCUAAAUGUCUAUCCCGAAGGAUUCCUGGGAGUUUCUUUCGAACAUCUAAUUUAGUCUCACAUCAAACCUUUCGAGAUCUUCGUAGAGAUCGAUUCUGUAACCUUCAGGUUUCGGAUGCCCUUAGAGCUUGGUAAUAUCUAUCUAGACCAUCACGUCUCGAAUCCUUAGAAACGUCUGCUCAACGAAAGCCUAGUGAUUCCUUUGAGGAAACCGAAGUCAUUCAGGGUUGGAGCUUCCACGAGAAAACAGAUUGAUAUCGUGAAUUGUGAGAGAGUCAAGAAGCGAAACCAAGGCAUGUUCCAAUAAUGAGAAUUCACUAGAACGCCCAAUAGAGACCUAAUUCCACUUGAGAAAGUGAAGAUCCGAAGCAACAAAUCCAUUCGUAUCUCAUUCCAAUCCAUGACCUGUAUCUUAUUCCUUGAAUUUCGGGACGAAAUUCCCUCUAACGGGGGGAUAAUGUAACAACCCGAAGUUGUUCAUCGCCGAAAACCCGUUCUACCCGAAUACCUCGUCGGAGAUCGAAAUGUCCCAUUAUCAUUUUUGGGCUUAGUUAUCUAAAAUUUUAUAUUUAUUUUCGUUCAAUGAGGGUCCAAAUCAUUUAGGAACUCAAGAAUUUAGCCCAAAACAAUUAUUUCAUAAGUUUUAGAAAUAUCCUCGUCGGGUGACGAAAACUCAAUCGGGUGCGACCCAAAGCAUCGUUUAAGGCCGGUAUCGGGUAGAAUUCCACCGUGUCCAAGUUUUAGGGACUAUAUAAACAUGUUUAAGCACUCAUUUGAAGCUUUUUCCUUCUCUCUCUACUCUCUCUCUAACCUCUCUCCUAAAUCCAAAGAUUAAGUGUCCAAAACUCAAAUUUAAGGCUUCAAAUCCUUAAGGUACCUUCCUAGCCUUAAUCUAUAGCAUGUUUAGCUUCCAAAUUAGACACUUAAUCAUGAAAUUGGACAAUAUAUGUGAGUUUACGGCCCAGGAGGCUGCCUAGGCCGUAAACACCAUUUUGAAGGGUUUUUAGCCCUUAAACUCCUUCCUAGACUCAAUUGGACUUUAGAUAUGGCUAAGGGACUUCAAGAUAUGGACUUAGAACACCUAAAACUAUAAUUUUGAGGACUUUGAAGGAGUUUACGGCCAAGGCAUAAGCUUGGGCCGUAAACUCAUGAAAAUGGUGUUUUUCAUGUCUUUAAACCCUUCCAAAUCACCCCUACAGCUUAGAUAUGAAUUAUAGGACUUUGAUUCUUGCAUUUGGACACUUGAAACAUUAAUUUUGAGGGACUUAGAUGAGUUUACGGCCAAGGAGAGUUCUUGGGCCGUAAACUCCACAAAACUUGGCAUAAAUCUCAUUCUAAGGUGUUAGAAAGCCAUCCAACACCACCAAAAGCCUUGGAAUAAAUCAAGGGACCAACCAAAAAUACUUUAAGGGCCUAAAACACAUCUUUUAUGGGAUUUCUAAGAGUUUACGGCCAAGACCUGUUCUUGGGCCGUAAACUCCAAAAUUUUUGGUGUUAGAAUGCAAACUAAACACCCCUAAGGCCCUUAGAUGAAUUUUAGAAGUCCUUUCAUGCAAGUUUUAGACCUUGAAACACCUUGUAGCACCAUAUAUUAGAGUUUACGGCCAUGAAGGGGGUUUCAUGGGCCGUAAACUCCAUAAAACCCUCAUAUGUUCCAUAUAAACUCAUUUCUAGGCUUGUGGGAAUUUUUAGAAUCACAUGUGAUUGAUUUUAACAACUUAAAAACACUAAAUCUUGGAGAAUUGAGAGUUUACGGCCAAAGAACCCAUGCCUAGGCCGUAAACUCCCUUAUGUGUUGUAAAUGAUGUUUUUAAAUUAAUCCAAGCCUUAAGAAAAAUUAAUCCAAGCAUUUCCAAGUGUCCAUAUCCAUUUAUAACCCAAAUUUGCACUCUAAACCACCCUACCAUGAGUUUACGGCCGUAAACUCAUGGGGAAUGGGUGUUUUGGACCUAAAACUCUUGUAUAAGUUUACUCAUGGGGAGUAAACUCAAGUCCCAAGUCCCUAGUGUCAUUUCACAUCCUUAAACGCCACCCGGGUCCCUCCAAACACUCGUAUCGGAGUGUUUUCGCGACUUGAAGCAAGUGUCCCUAUCAAAUGAAUAAACUAAGUCCUAAUUAGAUACAAAUGUGUAUCUUUUCAUUAUAAUUAGGAACCUCGUGUAUUUACAAGCCCCGGAUCCACUCUUAGCAUCCAAAUCGUCAUACUUCUCGUCCGGUGAGUUCAUACCCCUACGCCUUUUUCACUGUUUUUAACUGUUUUCAGGGGGGAAUACAAGCAAACCAAAACUGUUUUCAAAUCAUAAUAUCUAUGUAUUUCAAAUAAUAUCUGGCAAACUUAUAAACUCUUUUACUCCUUAUGUAUUAUGUUGAGCAUAAGGAAUGAUUUAUUAAUUACAACUAAAUGGAUUUUAGUUAAGAAAAUAACCAAACUAAUCAAAUUAUUAUGGGAAUAAUUUGGGGUUCUAUGUUUCUCUUUAUACCACUUACUGAUCUCUGUACUAUGUUAUUAGAUAAACUAUGUCUGAUUCAGUUUAUCUCCGUAUCAUUCGAAUGUUUUGCCAGAUAGUCUCAUUGUAUGUAACUAUUUUUACUGUAUCAUGUCUUAAAACCUUUGUAUGGUUGUUAUCGUAUAUGAAUCCUGUGAAUAGUUUAAUACUAGUUUUGUGAGAUAGUCACUACCCUUUAUGGAUGAUCAAGUAAAUCCUCUCCGGAAGUGUAACCAGAGUCUCCUGGAGGGAGAGCGAAGAGUUUGUGAAUAGAUCUAUUCGGGACUGACAAUCCCACACCUUAACUGCUAGCUAUAGUUGGGCGGUCACGCCUGGGGUGACAAAUUCUGGAUAUCAUUCGACGUCUGACUAACAUCAAGGAGGUCUCGUUGUCGUAUCAGUAUGGUUACCCGACUCACAAUACGUAUUAAUAUGAACUUAUUCACAGCUAGGAUCUGUUUAGAAUCUAUAACUGGUUCGGGAUGU